AGAGUUUGAUCCUGGCUCAGAUUGAACGCUGGCGGCAGGCCUAACACAUGCAAGUCGAGCGGUAGCACAGAGAGCUUGCUCUCGGGUGACGAGCGGCGGACGGGUGAGUAAUGUCUGGGAAACUGCCUGAUGGAGGGGGAUAACUACUGGAAACGGUAGCUAAUACCGCAUAAUGUCGCAAGACCAAAGUGGGGGACCUUCGGGCCUCAUGCCAUCAGAUGUGCCCAGAUGGGAUUAGCUAGUAAGUGGGGUAAUGGCUCACCUAGGCGACGAUCCCUAGCUGGUCUGAGGGGAUGACCAGCCACACUGGAACUGAGACACGGUCCAGACUCCUACGGGAGGCAGCAGUGGGGAAUAUUGCACAAUGGGCGCAAGCCUGAUGCAGCCAUGCCGCGUGUGUGAAGAAGGCCUUCGGGUUGUAAAGCACUUUCAGCGGGGAGGAAGGCGUUAAGGUUAAUAACCUUGGCGAUUGACGUUACCCGCAGAAGAAGCACCGGCUAACUCCGUGCCAGCAGCCGCGGUAAUACGGAGGGUGCAAGCGUUAAUCGGAAUUACUGGGCGUAAAGCGCACGCAGGCGGUCUGUCAAGUCGGAUGUGAAAUCCCCGGGCUCAACCUGGGAACUGCAUUCGAAACUGGCAGGCUAGAGUCUUGUAGAGGGGGGUAGAAUUCCAGGUGUAGCGGUGAAAUGCGUAGAGAUCUGGAGGAAUACCGGUGGCGAAGGCGGCCCCCUGGACAAAGACUGACGCUCAGGUGCGAAAGCGUGGGGAGCAAACAGGAUUAGAUACCCUGGUAGUCCACGCCGUAAACGAUGUCGAUUUGGAGGUUGUGCCCUUGAGGCGUGGCUUCCGGAGCUAACGCGUUAAAUCGACCGCCUGGGGAGUACGGCCGCAAGGUUAAAACUCAAAUGAAUUGACGGGGGCCCGCACAAGCGGUGGAGCAUGUGGUUUAAUUCGAUGCAACGCGAAGAACCUUACCUGGUCUUGACAUCCACAGAACUUUCCAGAGAUGGAUUGGUGCCUUCGGGAACUGUGAGACAGGUGCUGCAUGGCUGUCGUCAGCUCGUGUUGUGAAAUGUUGGGUUAAGUCCCGCAACGAGCGCAACCCUUAUCCUUUGUUGCCAGCGGUUCGGCCGGGAACUCAAAGGAGACUGCCAGUGAUAAACUGGAGGAAGGUGGGGAUGACGUCAAGUCAUCAUGGCCCUUACGACCAGGGCUACACACGUGCUACAAUGGCAUAUACAAAGAGAAGCGACCUCGCGAGAGCAAGCGGACCUCAUAAAGUAUGUCGUAGUCCGGAUUGGAGUCUGCAACUCGACUCCAUGAAGUCGGAAUCGCUAGUAAUCGUAGAUCAGAAUGCUACGGUGAAUACGUUCCCGGGCCUUGCACACACCGCCCGUC
rnacentral:rRNA from 1 species